rnacentral:misc_RNA from 1 species
AUACACAACUUCAUAACAGUGGCAAACCAUUUCCAAUGAUACUUAAAGUGAGACGACAGCGGGAAUUUCCUGGAUGCACACUCUACAACCGAUAAGGAGACUCGAAUCGAAACCGUAAAAACCAUACGAGAAAACAAUCAAACGCAGCGAUUGUUUAUAUUUUAUUCAAUAAUUUUAAAUGUACUCUGUUGUAUAUGUUAACUGCAAACUCGACACCUCAGAUAAAUUCAUAAAUAUCAUUCUUGUACGUACAAGACGAUUAGAUCGCCUGGCCAGCGAUAUGCAAUUCUAUCAAACAAUCUACGACCAAACUUUGUAAACUUUAGCGUAAGACAUCACGAUACACUUACUCGAAUAAGAAUAUUAUUGAUCGGUACCCUCUCAACGGGGGGAGUAUGUACGAUCGGAAUCGAUCAUAGCCGAAAAUCGAUUGUAACCAAAAUACGAGAUUACUAUGCGCACACUAAAUCGAUAGAGAGUUACUAGUAACUAGCAGCUAUAACCCCCACCACUCGACCGUCGAGUGAGGGCGCCCUGCAGGGCACAAUACGAAAAACACGCAUUCUAUUCAACCGCUGGACGCCCACGAGGGCACAACACACAAAGACACGCUCUAUUCAACCGCUGGACGCCCACGAGGGCACAACACACAAAGACACGCUCUAUUCAACCGCUGGACGCCCACGAGGGCACAACACACAAAGACACGCUCUAUUCAACCGCUGGACGCCUACGAGGGCACAAUACGAAAGAGCGAGAGGAGUAUAGAAAGACAAGGAGUUU